UACGAAGGGGGCUAGCGUUGCUCGGAAUCACUGGGCGUAAAGGGUGCGUAGGCGGGUCUUUAAGUCAGGGGUGAAAUCCUGGAGCUCAACUCCAGAACUGCCUUUGAUACUGAAGAUCUUGAGUUCGGGAGAGGUGAGUGGAACUGCGAGUGUAGAGGUGAAAUUCGUAGAUAUUCGCAAGAACGCCAGUGGCGAAGGCGGCUCACUGGCCCGAUACUGACGGCUGAGGCACGAAAGCGUGGGGAGCAAACAGGG
rnacentral:rRNA from 1 species